UUGAACGCUGGCGGCAGGCCUAACACAUGCAAGUCGAACGGUAACAGGAAGCAGCUUGCUGCUUCGCUGACGAGUGGCGGACGGGUGAGUAAUGUCUGGGAAACUGCCUGAUGGAGGGGGAUAACUACUGGAAACGGUAGCUAAUACCGCAUAACGUCGCAAGACCAAAGAGGGGGACCUUCGGGCCUCUUGCCAUCGGAUGUGCCCAGAUGGGAUUAGCUAGUAGGUGGGGUAACGGCUCACCUAGGCGACGAUCCCUAGCUGGUCUGAGAGGAUGACCAGCCACACUGGAACUGAGACACGGUCCAGACUCCUACGGGAGGCAGCAGUGGGGAAUAUUGCACAAUGGGCGCAAGCCUGAUGCAGCCAUGCCGCGUGUAUGAAGAAGGCCUUCGGGUUGUAAAGUACUUUCAGCGGGGAGGAAGGGAGUAAAGUUAAUACCUUUACUCAUUGACGUUACCCGCAGAAGAAGCACCGGCUAACUCCGUGCCAGCAGCCGCGGUAAUACGGAGGGUGCAAGCGUUAAUCGGAAUUACUGGGCGUAAAGCGCACGCAGGCGGUUUGUUAAGUCAGAUGUGAAAUCCCCGGGCUCAACCUGGGAACUGCAUCUGAUACUGGCAAGCUUGAGUCUCGUAGAGGGGGGUAGAAUUCCAGGUGUAGCGGUGAAAUGCGUAGAGAUCUGGAGGAAUACCGGUGGCGAAGGCGGCCCCCUGGACGAAGACUGACGCUCAGGUGCGAAAGCGUGGGGAGCAAACAGGAUUAGAUACCCUGGUAGUCCACGCCGUAAACGAUGUCGACUUGGAGGUUGUGCCCUUGAGGCGUGGCUUCCGGAGCUAACGCGUUAAGUCGACCGCCUGGGGAGUACGGCCGCAAGGUUAAAACUCAAAUGAAUUGACGGGGGCCCGCACAAGCGGUGGAGCAUGUGGUUUAAUUCGAUGCAACGCGAAGAACCUUACCUGGUCUUGACAUCCACGGAAGUUUUCAGAGAUGAGAAUGUGCCUUCGGGAACCGUGAGACAGGUGCUGCAUGGCUGUCGUCAGCUCGUGUUGUGAAAUGUUGGGUUAAGUCCCGCAACGAGCGCAACCCUUAUCCUUUGUUGCCAGCGGUCCGGCCGGGAACUCAAAGGAGACUGCCAGUGAUAAACUGGAGGAAGGUGGGGAUGACGUCAAAUCAUCAUGCCCCUUAUGGCCUGGGCUACACACGUACUACAAUGGCGUCUACAAAGAGCGGCAAGCCUGUGAAGGCAAGCGAAUCUCAUAAAGGACGUCUCAGUUCGGAUUGAAGUCUGCAACCCGACUUCAUGAAGCUGGAAUCGCUAGUAAUCGCGAAUCAGCAUGUCGCGGUGAAUACGUUCUCGGGCCUUGUACACACCGCCCGUCACACCAUGGGAGUGGGUUGCAAAAGAAGUAGGUAGCUUAACCUUCGGGAGGGCGCUUACCACUUUGUGAUUCAUGACUGGGGUG
rnacentral:rRNA from 1 species